UACGGAGGGUGCGAGCGUUAAUCGGAAUUACUGGGCGUAAAGCGUGCGCAGGCGGUUUGUUAAGACAGGUGUGAAAUCCCUGGGCUCAACCUAGGAAUUGCGCUUGUGACUGGCGGGCUCGAGUACGGUAGAGGGGGGUGGAAUUCCUGGUGUAGCAGUGAAAUGCGUAGAGAUCAGGAGGAACACCGAUGGCGAAGGCAGCCCCCUGGGCCUGUACUGACGCUCAUGCACGAAAGCGUGGGGAGCAAACAGG
rnacentral:rRNA from 1 species